rnacentral:rRNA from 1 species
UCCAGACUCCUACGGGAGGCAGCAGUGGGGGAUAUUGCACAAUGGGGGGAACCCUGAUGCAGCGACGCCGCGUGGGUGAAGGAGCGUUUCGGCGCGUAAAGCCCUAUCGGCAGGGAAGAAGGAGGACGGUACCUGACUAAGAAGCCCCGGCUAACUACGUGCCAGCAGCCGCGGUAAUACGUAGGGGGCAAGCGUUAUCCGGAGUUAAUGGGUGUAAAGGGGGCGCAGACGGCAGCGCAAGCCAGGAGUGAAAGCCCGGGGCCCAACCCCGGGACUGCUCUUGGAACUGCGCGGCUGGAGUGCAGGAGGGGCAGGCGGAAUUCCUGGUGUAGCGGUGAAAUGCGUAGAUAUCAGGAGGAACACCGGUGGCGAAGGCGGCCUGCUGGACUGCGACUGACGUUGAGGCCCGAAAGCGUGGGGAGCAAACAGGAUUAGAUACCCGGGUAAG